rnacentral:rRNA from 1 species
GACGAACGCUGGCGGCGUGCCUAAUACAUGCAAGUCGAGCGAGUCUGCCUUGAAGAUCGGAGUGCUUGCACUCUGUGAAACAAGAUACAGGCUAGCGGCGGACGGGUGAGUAACACGUGGGUAACCUGCCCAAGAGAUCGGGAUAACACCUGGAAACAGAUGCUAAUACCGGAUAACAACAGAUGAUGCCUAUCAACUGUUUAAAAGAUGGUUCUGCUAUCACUCUUGGAUGGACCUGCGGUGCAUUAGCUAGUUGGUAGGGUAACGGCCUACCAAGGCGAUGAUGCAUAGCCGAGUUGAGAGACUGAUCGGCCACAUUGGGACUGAGACACGGCCCAAACUCCUACGGGAGGCAGCAGUAGGGAAUCUUCCACAAUGGACGCAAGUCUGAUGGAGCAACGCCGCGUGAGUGAAGAAGGGUUUCGGCUCGUAAAGCUCUGUUGUUGGUGAAGAAGGACAGGGGUAGUAACUGACCUUUGUUUGACGGUAAUCAAUUAGAAAGUCACGGCUAACUACGUGCCAGCCGCCGCAGUAAUAC